UUUUAUCUCUCUUCACUUCUCUGCAGAAGAAAAUUUGCUAUCCUCCGAACACCACGAACUAGAAACUCCAUCGAUUCUAAAAUCUCAUCUGUAUCUCUAUAUUCCAUUACAAUUUUAGUUUUCUCUCGCAACUUCUUUCACAGCCGAUCGAAAUCUCUAUCUUUCUCUCGAUUUUUUUCUCAAUCAAAAUCAUUGGGGGUAGAGAUUCUUCUCAAUUGAUUCAUGAAGAAACUAGGGUAUAGAUUCUUCUUAAUUGAGUCAUGAAGAAAUUUAGGGUUCUUCGAAUGAAAUUUAUUUUCCAAGGAGAUUACUCAUUACAACUAUUUUUCUGUGAUUCAUAAGAUUUACUCCUAUGGGCACUGAGAUUAUUAUUAGAUCUACUCGUACUCAAGAUGUUCUUCAGUGUGUCAUUUCUCUCUCAGGGUGACUUUUGUAUUAAGAUUUUGAGGAUUUUUGUCACUGGAUCUGAUUUUGGAGAUUUUUGUGAGUUACGGCAGAAACAUGUUCUUUGUUGCUGUGAAGUGUAUAGAUGAUUAGUUUGUCGACAUAAUUUUGUGUAUCUGGCUAAUUAAACUUUUGGCGGUUAUGGCAGAUAUGUAAGUAUUCAAUGCUUGUACUAUCAUCACUAGAUUUACAAGGAUUGUUGGAGAACUUUUUGGCGUGCUGAUUGCGGUCCUUUUGAUUCAAGAGGCCAUUAAAGGAAUGGUUAAUGAAUUUUCAGUUUCGAAGUCUGAAAAUCCAAAUGAAGAAAGAUAUCAAUUUCAGUGCGUGGCUGUAUACAAAUGGACUGUUGGGACUAAUCUACACCUUUGGACUUCUCUCUACUUCUUUAAAAAGCAGGAGGGCCAGGUCCUGGCGUUAUGGCACAUGUCUGGAACCGUUUUAAACUCAUCUAACUUUGUACUUCUAUAUAAGAGUACUUAGAACUUGAAAACAUUUUCGAACUGAUUUAUUAUAACAGAAUUCCUCGGAAGCUUUAUUGUAGACUAUGGGUUCCUUUCAUUGUUGUGGUGUGGACAUCAAUGUCAUAAAGUAUUCCAAGCAAAGUUUCAUAUGGAGUUCCACGAAGGCUUUAUACUCCUCUUCCAUGGAAAUCUGCAUCGUUAUAUCAUUGGACAGUAAUCAAGGUAAUUACUUAGAUCAACGUACAUGCACAAAUUUAAAUUUUUAGUUGUUGUAUAUGGCUGAAAUUUAUGUCGAAACUGCAGGAUAUGGGAAAAGUCCCACCGGCUUACAUUUUUGCUGCCAUUAUACCAGAUAUAAUGGUAGCUGCUCUUUACUUUUUCGACCACACUGUUGUUUCUUCAGAUGGCCCAACAGAAGGAAUUCAAUCUAAAAAAGCCAUAUGCUUACCACUAUGACAUUUUGUUGCUUGGUUUUAUGGUAUAAUUAAUUACUAAGAUAUCGAUCAUAUUAGUUCAUUGGUUCAUCCAUAUUGUCAUAACUCUAUUAUCUUACUUUUUCUCAACUUGAAUCCAUGAUUUCAGUUUCUGAUAUGUGGAUUGUUAGGACUUGCUCCUACAAAUGGGGUAUUUCCAAAGUCUCCUAUGCACACAAAGAGCCUCACUGUUCUUAAGAGAACAGUAGUCAGGAAAAUGGGGCAACCUUAAUGAAGUUCAUAUAUGCAUUGUGUUUUUUGAUGUUCCAUUUUACGGCCUCACUCCUAAUGGUUAAAGAACAGUAUUCAGGAAAAUGGUUCUGUUCAGAACACAUUCGGUUUUGUUUUCUUUAUAUUUUGAUUUAAUGAGCCUUGCCUUUAAUUUUUGGUGUUGUAGAUUCGCUCUUCUACUAAUGACUAUGAGAGCAAUGGUGAAAACAAAUCAUUUCAAGGGAGUGUUCAAGCCUCGGCAUCUUCUGAUUCUCUUCGUCUAGAAAUUCUUAAUGGUGUUGUGAAGAAGAAACUUUCACAACAACACUUCUUGCAGCAAUGAAUAAGGUUAGUUUCAGCUAAAUUUAGCAAUAUUUUUGUACAAGUUAUAUUUCUAGAUCAGACUCCAAUAAGAAUGCUUUGGAAGAUCCAUUUGUCUUCACUGCAAAUGCGAAUGAAGCUUCAUCAAUUUUGACAACUGUUGGAGAUGAUGAGUAUUGGAAUGGAGAAGCUCAGGUAAGGUUUCAUUCCAUAUUUCCACUAUAUAUAUAUCUAACAUGUUGGUUGUUGAUACGAGCUUGAACAUUAUUACCCUAUGAUGUUGUUACAAGAAAAACAUGAGUUUCUAAAGGAUUCAACUAAUUUCUUUGUAUCUGCCUUCACUUUCCCUGAAGCUCCUGUUUUGUUGCAAACAUAUUACAUUCAUAAAUUUCUUUCAAUGCUGCUGAAAGCCCUUGUGAUAUCAUAGAGGUGAAACCGAAUAUGAGAUAUUAGUAUUUGCAUACCAAAAGCAUUCCACAAAAGUAAUUCUGUUAUAGUCCUUUUCUUUUCCUGAAUUCCCUGCUUUUUUCAUUUAUGUUUUCACUCUUGUUGCAUGAUUACGUACCUGCUACUGAUGAGCCAACUGCUGUUUACAUGACCUAGAUCUAGGUUUAAUCUCUCAAAUUACCCCACAUGUGCUUCCAACAUUAAAAGAAAGAAUAUGAGGUAUACUCUAGUAACUUAUUUUGUUCUACCGUGUAUUAUGAACUAAACGAAGCAAUUGUAAUGUUUUUUAUUUGCUUUGCAGGAACGACGUUCUUUGUCAUAUGUGAACCAGGGACACAACACAUGGAUGCUCUACUUGAUAUCAUUUAUGAAGUAUUGGCUAAGUUCAUCCUCAUUGAAGGAUCUAAUCGAUUUGUUGCUUAUUGUCUUAGUUUAGCAUCUUGUUGUUAGAACUUAGUAGCUAGCUAGAUUUGACAUGUAUUGUUCUGAAUCAAAAUUUCAUCUUUUUUGUGUAAUUUUAAACCCAAUGGAUAAAAUAAAUGAAUGAAUGAAUGAAUGAAUGUGGAAUUCUCAAGUUU